GACGAACGCUGGCGGCGUGCUUAACACAUGCAAGUCGAGCGGUAAGGCCCUUUCGGGGGUACACGAGCGGCGAACGGGUGAGUAACACGUGGGUGACCUGCCCUUAGCUCUGGGAUAAGCCUGGGAAACUGGGUCUAAUACCGGAUAUGACUCCAUGACGCAUGUUGUGGGGUGGGAAAGCCUUGUGCGGCUAGGGAUGGGCCCGCGGCCUAUCAGCUUGUUGGUGGGGUGAUGGCCUACCAAGGCGACGACGGGUAGCCGGCCUGAGAGGGCGACCGGCCACACUGGGACUGAGACACGGCCCAGACUCCUACGGGAGGGCAGCAGUGGGGAAUCUUGCGCAAUGGGCGAAAGCCUGACGCAGCGACGCCGCGUGAGGGAUGACGGCCU
rnacentral:rRNA from 1 species